UCUACUGGGAAUGGAUCCGGAGGUGUCUGGAUUGUUUACUGGGAAUGAAGGUGACUGGAUUGUCUACUGGAAAUGGAGGUGUCUGGAUUGUCUACUGGGAAUGGAUCCGGAGGUGUCUGGAUUGUCUACUGGGAAUGGAGGUGUCUGGAUUGUCUACUGGGAAUGGAGGUGUCUGGAUUGUCUACUGGGAAUGGAGGUGUCUGGAUUGUCUACUGGGAAUGGAUCCGGAGGUGUCUGGAUUGUCUACUGGGAAUGGAUCCGGAGGUGUCUGGAUUGUCUACUGGGAAUGGAUCCGGAGGUGUCUGGAUUGUCUACUGGGAAUGGAGGUGUCUGGAUUGUCUACUGGGAAUGGAGGUGUCUGGAUUGUCUACUGGGAAUGGAUCCGGAGGUGUCUGGAUUGUCUACUGGGAAUGGAUCCGGAGGUGUCUGGAUUGUCUACUGGGAAUGGAUCCGGAG